GAUGAACGCUAGCGGCGGGCUUAAUACAUGCAAGUCGAACGGUAACAGGUCUUCGGACGCUGACGAGUGGCGCACGGGUGCGUAACGCGUACACAACCUACCCUAAAGAGGGGAUAGCUCCGGGAAACUGGGAAUAAUACCCCAUAGUACUACUAAGUUGCAUAAUUUGGUAGUUAAAGGUUUACUGCUUUAGGAUGGGUGUGCGAGCCAUUAGGUAGUUGGAGAGGUAACGGCUCACCAAGCCGACGAUGGCUAGGCUGGUCUGAGAGGAUGAUCAGCCACACGGGCACUGAGACACGGGCCCGACUCCUACGGGAGGCAGCAGUAGGAAUAUUGGACAAUGGCGAAAGCCUGAUCCAGCCACG
rnacentral:rRNA from 1 species